AUGCCCAGAUCAUGUUGAAACACCAGUCCUCAUACUAUCAUCGAAGUUAAGCAAUGUCAGGCCUGGUCAGUAGCUAGAUGGGUGACCACUUGGGAAUACUAGGUGCUGUAAG